GGCGGAACGCCUAACACAUGCAAGUCGAACGAAGUASCAAUACUUAGUGGCAGACGGGUGAGUAACAUGUGGGUAUCUACCCUUUGGCCUGGAAUAACACGAGGAAACUUGUGCUAAUACCGGAUAAGUCUUUACGGAGAAAGCUUUAUGCACCAUUGGAUGAGCCCGCACUUGAUUAGUUUGUUGGUAGGGUAAUGGCCUACCAAGACUAUGAUCAAUAGCUGAUUUGAGAGGAUGAUCAGCCACAUUGGGACUGAGACACGGCCCAAACUCCUACGGGAGGCAGCAGUGGGGAAUCUUGCACAAUGGAGGAAACUCUGAUGCAGCGAUGCCGCGUGAGUGAAGAAGGCCUUUGGGUUGUAAAGCUCUUUCGUCGGGGAAGAAAAUGACUGUACCCGAAUAAGAAGGUCCGGCUAACUUCGUGCCAGCAGCCGCGGUAAUACGAAGGGACCUAGCGUAGUUCGGAAUUACUGGGCUUAAAGAGUUCGUAGGUGGUUGAAAAAGUUGGUGGUGAAAUCCCAGAGCUUAACUCUGGAACUGCCAUCAAAACUUUUCAGCUAGAGUAUGAUAGAGGAAAGCAGAAUUUCUAGUGUAGAGGUGAAAUUCGUAGAUAUUAGAAAGAAUACCAAUUGCGAAGGCAGCUUUCUGGAUCAUUACUGACACUGAGGAACGAAAGCAUGGGUAGCGAAGAGGAUUAGAUACCCUCGUAGUCA
rnacentral:rRNA from 1 species